CAGCAGUGGGGGAAUAUUGCACAAUGGGCGCAAGCCUGAUGCAGCCAUGCCGCGUGUGUGAAGAAGACCGUUCGGGUUGUAAAGCACUUUCAGUCGUGAGGAAGGUGGUAGUGUUAAUAGCACUAUCAUUUGACGUUAGCGACAGAAGAAGCACCGGCUAACUCCGUGCCAGCAGCCGCGGUAAUACGGAGGGUGCGAGCGUUAAUCGGAAUUACUGGGCGUAAAGCGCAUGCAGGUGGUUUGUUAAGUCAGAUGUGAAAGCCCGGGGCGUCAACCUCGGAAUAGCAUUUGUAAACUGGCAGACUAGAGUACUGUAGAGGGGGGUAGGAAUUUCAGGUGUAGCGGUGAAAUGCGUAGAGAUCUGAAGGAAUACCGGUGGCGAAGGCGGCCCCCUGGACAGAUACUGACACUCAGAUGCGAAAGCGUGGGGAGCAAACAGGAUUAGAUACCCUGGUAG
rnacentral:rRNA from 1 species